rnacentral:rRNA from 1 species
UACAGAGGUCUCGAGCGUUAGGCGGAAUCACUGGGCUUAAAGCGUGUGUAGGUGGAUCGUUAAGUACCUUGUGAAAUCCCACGGCUUAACCGUGGAACUGCUUGGUAUACUGGCGGUCUUGAGCCACUUAGGGGCGACCGGAACAAAUGGUGGAGCGGUGAAAUGCGUAGAUAUCAUUUGGAACGCCAAUGGUGAAAACAGGUCGCUGGGAGUGUGCCGCACUGAGACACGAAAGCCAGGGGAGCAAACGGG